ensembl:snoRNA
CUGCCGUGAUGGGUACAUUUUUCGUCAGCAGCAUUUCACCUAGUGAAUGUUGAUGCCUCAGAGCUGAGCAG